GUACAUAUCGACACAAAUCAUAAGCUUAUCAGAUAUGGCCUUGUCAUUUUUGGAGGUGUUGAUGGCUUCUCAAGAAAGAUCAUGUACCUAGGUGCUGCAACCAAUAAUAAAGCAUCAACUGCACUUGCAUUUUUCUUGGAGGCA